GUGCUUUUGAGUUUUUAACCAUUGGAUUGAGAGAUAUAGGGUUGAGAUGAUGGUGAUAGGUAGUGGUAGGUGGAAUAGUAUUUGAUCCAAGGGGUAUUAGUAAUUAAGGAGUCGAUCCAAGGAUUAGAAACUUAGAAGCACCAAGGGAUUGGUGCUUCCAAAAGUAUUCUAGCUCAAUUUUAUAUAUAUAUAUAUAUAUAUAAAAUUGAACUCCUAUGUUUUUGAAAGUAUAAGUUACUGGUGCUUAUAGAUUUUUUUCCAUUGAAUUAAGGAAUGUGCGGUUAGAAAGAUGUGGGACCCCUAGGGUUGAGUGGGCAAUUGGUUGAAUAGUAAGAUCUAACAGGUGAAAAUGAUCUAAAGGGUAGAUCUAACGGUAAAAAAUUUACAAGUACCAAGUGCUUGUAUUUACAAACACCAUAGCUGGACUAUAUAUAUAUAUAUAUAUAUAGAACUAGGCUACUAUGCUAUUAAUAGCACCAAGUCAUUGGUGCUACCAAGUUUUUAGCCAUUGGAUUAAAAGAUGUGUGGUUAGGAUGAUGUGGGCCCUCUAGGGUUGAGUAGGUGGUUGGUUGAAUAGUAUGAUCUAACGGGUGAAAAUGAUCAAAAGGGUAGAUCUAACGGCGGAAAACUUGGUAGCACCAAGUGCUUCGUACUAUUAAUAGUAUAGUAGCCGGACUCUAUAUAUAUAUAUAUAUAUAUAUAUAGANUUGAAUUACCCUUCUCGUGGAUAGUGAUGUCAAUAGAUGGAAUUCGGGGCGAAUUUUCAAAAUCCCAACCUAAAUCCAGUUAUUCAUCUAAAUGUGAACUCGAAUUCGACAGACUUUAAAAGUUCAUAUUCAAACCUGAACCAACCAAAUAUUCGAAAUCCGAAUCUGAAACAAUUAUUUCUCUUUAUCAUAUUUCAAAAUAUAAUAUUAAAUCUAAUUUUUUUAAAUACAAAUUCAAAUAUAACAUCAAAGAGUAAAAUAAAUUCGAGUUCGGGUUCGGGUACAGGCAAAAUUCAUAUCCGAAUCCAAAUUUAUUGGAUUUUUAUUUUUUAUACUAUAUUCGAAACUAUAUUCAUUUAGUAUCGAAUAAAUCUGUUAUGUUCGAAUUUGAGUUCUAAUAAAAUUUUAAAUAUUCGUA
rnacentral:lncRNA from 1 species